UACGUAGGCAGCAAGCGUUGUUCGGAAUUAUUGGGCGUAAAGGGUGCGUAGGCGGUGCCAUAAGUUCGGUGUGAAAUCUCCUGGCUUAACUGGGAGGGUGCGCCGAAAACUGUGGUGCUUGAGUGCAGGAGAGGUAAGCGGAAUUCCUGGUGUAGCGGUGAAAUGCGUAGAUAUCAGGAGGAACACCUGCGGUGUAGACGGCUUACUGGACUGUGACUGACGCUGAGGCACGAAAGUGUGGGGAGCAAACAGG
rnacentral:rRNA from 1 species